rnacentral:rRNA from 1 species
UACGUAGGGGGCAAGCGUUGUCCGGAAUCAUUGGGCGUAAAGCGCGUGUAGGCGGUUCUGUAAGUCUGCUGUGAAAGUCCAGGGCUCAACCCUGGGAUGCCGGUGGAUACUGCAGGGCUAGAGUACGGGAGAGGCGAGUGGAAUUCCCGGUGUAGCGGUGAAAUGCGCAGAUAUCGGGAGGAACACCUAUUGCGAAGGCAGCUCGCUGGGACGUUACUGACGCUGAGACGCGAAAGCGUGGGGAGCAAACAGG